UUAACGGCGCUUUUAAGCGCCACUAAUACUUUUAGCGGUGCUUUC
rfam:Gossypium arboreum cultivar AKA8401 contig_180632_1, whole genome shotgun sequence.